AGCUUUCUUGAUGGACGUUUAUCUUUAUUGAUAUCCACAUCAAUGGUCAUGUAAAUUUAAGUUUUUGCAAUGGUUGUCUUCGGACAAAUGACAACUUUAUUAGAGUCGUUAUAACAACAAGAGUGCACACACAGAAAUGUCUCGCCUUCUUUACUAAUCAUUGAUAUUAUGUUGAUACUCCUAAAUCUAAAGCUUUAUUACGACUGUCACAUAGACUUAACAUGAACCAUGAAAAUGAGGUCAAGGUCAGUUGAACCAUAUGCCAGGCAGACAUGUACAGCUAACAAUGCUUCCAUACAACAAAUAUAGUUGACCUAUUGCUUAUAGUUUAAGAAAAUAGACCAAAACACAAAAACUUAACACUGAGCAAUGAACCUUGAAAACC
rnacentral:lncRNA from 1 species